CUGAAAACUUAUCUAACUUAUCCUCAAGGCAUGGGCAAGCUCAGCUAAACUCAGGUCAUUUCUGAUAGUAUCUGUGGGAACCAUUAGUCUUAUUUUUGCAAAUACUGAUUUCGUUGGGCAUGCCUGGGUUUUUGAGAGCUAAACACAGCUAAAUGUGCCAAUUAACUGUUCUACAAUGUGAGGGAAAAACAAACAAACAAACACAAGACAACACCAACCCCACCACCACCAACAAAACACCUUCAAUAGUUCAAAUUGAGCUGGUCUGUUGUCCAACCCCUUCCCCUGCCCCCCAAAAUCUAAGUGAAAGUCUUCCUCGUGAAAUUUCUGAUGCACUUUCCCUUCAAGGUCAGCUGCUUGAACAAUAUGAAGCACCA
rnacentral:lncRNA from 1 species